UACGAAGGGGGCUAGCGUUGUUCGGAAUCACUGGGCGUAAAGCGCACGUAGGCGGAUUGUUAAGUCGGGGGUGAAAUCCUGAGGCUCAACCUCAGAACUGCCUUCGAUACUGGCAAUCUCGAGUCCGGAAGAGGUUGGUGGAACACUAGUGUAGAGGUGAAAUUCGUAGAUAUUAGCUAGAACACCAGUGGCGAAGGCGGCCAACUGGUCCGGUACGUGA
rnacentral:rRNA from 1 species